AAGUCGUGAUGAGGGAAAAGUCUCAUCAUAUCCUUGUACCUUUCCCAUGCGUCAAAGAGAGAUUAUCCAUCAACUUGUCUGAAACAAGUGAUUUGAUUUCUUAAAACU